AUUGAACGCUGGCGGCAGGCCUAAUACAUGCAAGUCGAACGAAGUGGCGCACGGGUGAGUAAUAUAUAGUUAAUCUGCCCUACACAGAGGAACAACAGUUGGAAACGACUGCUAAUACCUCAUAGUGUAGGAUGAGACUAUAUCGUAUCAGCUAGUUGGUAAGGUAAUGGCUUACCAAGGCUAUGACGCGUAACUGGUCUGAGAGGAUGAUCAGUUACAUUUGAACUUAGAACCGGGCCCAACUCCUUCGGGAAGCAGCAGGAAGGGAUAUUGCCCAAUGGGGGAAACCCUGACGCAGCAACGCCGCGUGGAGGAUGACACUUUUCGGAGCGUAAACUCCUUUUAUCAGGAAAGCGGUACCUGAUGAAUAAGCACCGGCUAACUCCGUGCCAGCAGCCGCGGUAAUUC
rnacentral:rRNA from 1 species